GAUGAACGCUGGCGGCGUGCCUAAUACAUGCAAGUCGAGCGAACAGAUGAGGAGCUUGCUCCUCUGACGUUAGCGGCGGACGGGUGAGUAACACGUGGAUAACCUACCUAUAAGACUGGGAUAACUUCGGGAAACCGGAGCUAAUACCGGAUAAUAUAUUGAACCGCAUGGUUCAAUAGUGAAAGACGGUUUUGCUGUCACUUAUAGAUGGAUCCGCGCCGCAUUAGCUAGUUGGUAAGGUAACGGCUUACCAAGGCAACGAUGCGUAGCCGACCUGAGAGGGUGAUCAGCCACACUGGAACUGAGACACGGUCCAGACUCCUACGGGAGGCAGCAGUAGGGAAUCUUCCGCAAUGGGCGAAAGCCUGACGGAGCAACGCCGCGUGAGUGAUGACGGUCUUCGGAUCGUAAAACUCUGUUAUUAGGGAAGAACAAAUGUGUAAGUAACUAUGCACGUCUUGACGGUAACUAAUCAGAAAGCCACGGCUAACUACGUG
rnacentral:rRNA from 1 species